CUUUAAUGGUCCUCAGCCAUGCUGCUUUUUACUGAACCAGGAAGUGACCUGCUCCAUGAUCACAGAUCUUGUGGGCUGCGUCUCUCACAGACCGUUUGGGCAACCUUGCCAACCGGGAGAUCAAACGCCACGGCGAUGAGUGGUUCCUGUGAUCACCGCGGAUACGUGUUUGUGUUUUCCGUGUGUCCACAUGUGCGACUGUCUGCCGCUGAGUGUCUCCCGAGGCUCUUUUCUGAUAGACCACCACUGGGCGUUGUGGAGAUGAAAGGAAUGCUGGGAACUCAUCUCACGCUAUGAAUCCUGGCUUCCUGUGUAGAGCGUCGUCCAAACAGCUUCACAGUCGAUGCUGCUCCCCGCUCUGGUCCUGAGAAACGCACCUGCCAUGAUGCAGUCGGGUCCCCUCCCCGCUACGAUAGUGUGUGUUGACGUAUUUAAUGAAAGCUAUUAAGGAAAAUAUUCAUUGACAACUGGGUAAAAAGUAACAAUUCAAAAUGAGAACUGUGGUGAAAUGUAUGAAAUUUCCCGUCAACGAAUAAAAACGAAUCGAUAAUGAUACAGA